CCUACGGGUGGCAGCAGUGAGGAAUAUUGGUCAAUGGACGAGAGUCUGAACCAGCCAAGUAGCGUGAAGGAUGACUGCCCUAUGGGUUGUAAACUUCUUUUAUAUGGGAAUAAAAUGUUCCACGUGUGCCUUUUUGUAUGUACCAUAUGAAUAAGGAUCGGCUAACUCCGUGCCAGCAGCCGCGGUAAUACGGAGGAUCCGAGCGUUAUCCGGAUUUAUUGGGUUUAAAGGGAGCGUAGGUGGGUUGUUAAGUCAGUUGUGAAAGUUUGCGGCUCAACCGUAAAAUUGCAGUUGAAACUGGCAGUCUUGAGUACAGGAGAGGUGGGCGGAAUUCGUGGUGUAGCGGUGAAAUGCUUAGAUAUCACGAAGAACCCCGAUUGCGAAGGCAGCUUACUGGACUGCAACUGACAUUGAUGCUCGAAAGUGUGGGUAUCAAACAGGAUUAGAUACCCGGGUAGUC
rnacentral:rRNA from 1 species